CCAGACUCCUACGGGAGGCAGCAGUAGGGAAUCUUCCGCAAUGGGCGAAAGCCUGACGGAGCAACGCCGCGUGAGUGAUGAAGGUCUUCGGAUCGUAAAACUCUGUUAUUAGGGAAGAACAAAUGUGUAAGUAACUAUGCACGUCUUGACGGUACCUAAUCAGAAAGCCACGGCUAACUACGUGCCAGCAGCCGCGGUAAUACGUAGGUGGCAAGCGUUAUCCGGAAUUAUUGGGCGUAAAGCGCGCGUAGGCGGUUUUUUAAGUCUGAUGUGAAGGCCCACGGCUCAACCGUGGAGGGUCAUUGGAAACUGGAAAACUUGAGUGCAGAAGAGGAAAGUGGAAUUCCAUGUGUAGCGGUGAAAUGCGCAGAGAUAUGGAGGAACACCAGUGGCGAAGGCGACUUUCUGGUCUGUAACUGACGCUGAUGUGCGAAAGCGUGGGGAUCAAACAGGAUUAGAUACCCUGGUAGUCCACGCCGUAAACGAUGAGUGCUAAGUGUUAGGGGGUUUCCGCCCCUUAGUGCUGCAGCUAACGCAUUAAGCACUCCGCCUGGGGAGUACGACCGCAAGGUUGAAACUCAAAGGAAUUGACGGGGGCCCGCACAAG
rnacentral:rRNA from 1 species